GCAGAAGUGGCGGAAUUGGCAGACGCGCACGGUUCAGGUCCGUGUGGUAGCAAUACCGUGAGGGUUCAAGUCCCUUCUUCUGCAUCA
rnacentral:tRNA from 4 species